rnacentral:piRNA from 1 species
UNGAAGCAAUGGUCCAGCUCCCAGGUCUAGA